rnacentral:rRNA from 1 species
AGUGAACGCUGGCGGUAGGCCUAACACAUGCAAGUCGAACGGCAGCACAGUAAGAGCUUGCUCUUACGGGUGGCGAGUGGCGGACGGGUGAGGAAUACAUCGGAAUCUACUUUUUCGUGGGGGAUAACGUAGGGAAACUUACGCUAAUACCGCAUACGACCUACGGGUGAAAGCAGGGGAUCUUCGGACCUUGCGCGAUUGAAUGAGCCGAUGUCGGAUUAGCUAGUUGGCGGGGUAAAGGCCCACCAAGGCGACGAUCCGUAGCUGGUCUGAGAGGAGGGUAGGCCACACUGGAACUGAGACACGGACCAGACUCCUACGGUAGGGAGCAGUCGGGAAUAUUGGACAGUGGGCGCAAGCCUGAUCCAGCCAGACCGCGUGGGUGAAGAAGGCCUUCGGGUUGUAAAGCCCUUUUGUUGGGAAAGAAAAGCAGCAGGUUAAUACCCCGCUGUUCUGACGGUACCCAAAGAAUAAGCACCGGCUAACUUCGUG